CGUGGGGUCAGGAACACCCAGCCUCCAUGCAGUAGACAGGGCUACGAGAACACUAGGGAGAGAUCCCUGUUCAUUUACCAUGGAAUCAGCCAACAGUGGAGAGAAUACAAGAGAGACAAGGUCUUGCUAUGUUGCCUAGGCUGAUCCCAAACUCCUGGCCUCAAGUGAUCCUCUUGCCGCAGCCUCCCAAAGUGUUGGGAUUACAGAAUUUGUAGCAUGAACCCUCCCUGUCAGCAGACAAAGUCCCUCAGAUGACAGAACAGACUCGGCCACAAGCUGAAGCCCUGCGGUUUGCGCCAGAACCGGCGUGUUUGUGAAAGCCAGAGGACUCUGUUUUCUCCCUCUUUUCAUGAAUGAUGGGAGACAUUUCCUAAGCUCCUUCCUGAUGGGUGAUUGGGGCGAACUGAAGCCUUCCGAGCAGGUAAAGCUGAGACUCACUUCUGCUUCUCCUGCGUUUCUUUCACAGAGAAGGAGGGUGAAGCUAUUAAAGAUGGUGUUUCAAGUCCUAGGAAUGAAACUGAUUCAAAUGGGGAGCAAACUGGCUAAAUUCCUGAUACUGUCACAGAAAACAAUAAGUGCUAAACAAUCCUUCCCCCAGCCUUGAAAAUGGAGAACAAUUUUGCAUAUUUACCUUCCUCCUGCCUUGAAAAUGGAGAACAAUUUUGCAUAUUUACCUUCC